UUUGUUGUUGUUUAGUCGUUUAGUCGUGUCCGACUCUUCGUGACCCCAUGGACCAGAGCACGCCAGGCACUCCUGUCUUCCACUGCCUCCCGCAGUUUGGUCAGGCUCAUGUUUGUAGCUUCAAGAACACUGUCCAACCAUCUCGUCCUCUGUCGUCCCCUUCUCCUUGUGCCCUCCAUCUUUCCCAACAUCAGGGUCUUUUCCAGGGAGUCUUCUCUUCUCAUGAGGUGGCCAAAGUAUUGGAGCCUCAGCUUCACGAUCUGUCCUUCCAGUGAGCACUCAGGGCUGAUUUCC